rnacentral:rRNA from 1 species
AAUAUUGCGCAAUGGAGGAAACUCUGACGCAGCGACGCCGCGUGAGCGAUGAAGGUCUUCGGAUCGUAAAGCUCUGUCCUUGGGGAAGAAGGUCUUCGGACUUGACGGUACCCAUGGAGGAAGCCCCGGCCAACUCAGUGCCAGCAGCCGCGGUAAUACGUAGGUGGCAAGCGUUGUCCGGAUUUAUUGGGCGUAAAGCGCGCGCAGGCGGUCUUUUAAGUCUGAUGUGAAAUCUUACAGCUUAACUGUAAGCGGUCAUUGGAAACUGGGAGACUUGAGUGCAGAAGGGGAGAGUGGAAUUCCAUGUGUAGCGGUGAAAUGCGUAGAGAUAUGGAGGAACACCAGUGGCGAAGGCGACUCUCUGGUCUGCAACUGACGCUGAGGCGCGAAAGCGUGGGGAUCAAACA